UACUCCGUCCUGUAGGCUCACUACGUGUCAGAAUCAACUCGACAGCAAUGGGUUUUUUGAUUUCCCAGGACGGGUAAAGGGGAAGUUAUUGCUUAAGAGGCACUGAGUUUCUCUUUAGGGUGAUGAAAAAUGUUUGGAGAUAGAUAGCGGUGAUGGUUACACAACAUAAAAAAAAAAAAAGUUGCCACUGAGUCCAUUCCAACUCAUGGAGACCCCGUGUGUGUCAGAGCAGAACUGCUCCACAAGGCUUUCAGAAGCAGACUGCCAGGCCUUUCUUCCAAGGCACCUCUGGAAAGCCCACCUGGCCUGGCAAGACACGGACAGACAGGGAAGAUGCUGAGGCAAGUCUAGACCAGCGUGGGUGGCACGCCAAUGGCAAAUGAGGACCCCGUGUUCUGAAAAUGGGAAGGAGGUGACCAGACAAGAGGUGGGAGGAAGGAAGGUCCUGUCCACACCCAGCAUCUACCACCACCACCCCAAUGCCCCAGGGUUAUUCUGAGGGUGAGAUCAGAGCUGCUGAAGACUAAUGAACAAUGUUUCAUCUAUUGAAAGGAAUGGGAAACAUUUUUAACAGGUUUUUAGUAGUGCUCUUCAAACAUUCCUUCUGAAGUAAAAUCACUCUUCCUUGUCAUAAGAGCCAUGGUGGAAUGUCACAGCAACAGCCCAAGGGCUCUCUCAUUGCAGCAGCAGAACUCUCAUUCGUGCAGACAGAGGAUGGUUACAUGAGGAAACGUGAUGAUAUCUCAUCUCCAAAGUGUCGACUAGAAUGUGGGUCUCCACCUAGACCAACUGAAGCCGGCAACAUGUUCAACAACGGGCAAGGUCAGGUGGUAGGACUGCUUCCUAUUCAAUCCACACCUCCGAUGACAAGCUAUUCCUUAAUUAGUGACAGCCUUGAGGCUCUUGUUUUAUCCAAGUUUUACAAACCAUUCAAGAAACAAGAUAUUGAGCUAAACGUUUAGCUCUUCCUCUUUCUAUCAUUCAUCCAACAUUUUUUAAAUACUUAGCGGGGACCAGGGACUGGGUUUCACAUACAUAAUUCUUUGGGGCUUUGACAUACCUGAGAACACCUCGAACUUUUAAAAACAAGCAUUAGCGGUUUCAAUUAUCAAAGUAACUCAUGCUCAUUGUAAUACCUGUAAAUGACGAAACGCAAAGAAAAUUAAUGACACUGAAUUGUACAGUUAAAAUGGCAAAGGUUUGGUAUAUCUACUUACCACAAUAAAAAAUAUAUACAUUGGGAAUCCACCUCUUCCUUCCUUCUUGGGCAGCCUAGUCCCAGGCACCACCAUCUCUCCUGGGUGAGUGCACCACCUCCUCCCAGCUCUCCCAGCUUCCACUCCACAGCCAAGGGCCUCUUGUUAAAAGGAACCCCUAGUUUACCCCGCAUCCAAAGAUUAGACAGGCCCAUAAAACAAAAUGGGACUAAAGGGGCACACCAGCCCAGGGGCAAGGACUAGAAGGCAGAAGGGGACAGGAAAGCUGGCAAUAGGGAACCCAAGGUCGAGCAGGGAGAGUGUUGACAUGUCAUGGGGUUGGCAACCAACGUCAUAAAACAAUAUGUGUAACUGACUGUUGAAUGAGAAGCUAGGUCUGUAAACCUUCAUCUAAAGUACAAAAAAAAAAAGAAACCUCCAUAGUACUAUUGGUCUCUACUCAUCUGAGACAAGAGAGAAAGAAGGAAACCAAGAUUCAAAGGAAAAAGAAGUCUAUACAACAAAUAGUUUACAGGAACCACGGCCUCAUCUACCCUGAGACCAGAAGAGCUAGGUGGUGCCCAACUACCACUAUCAACCAUUCUAAGCAGUGUCACAAUAGAUGGAACCUAGUAGAACAGGAGGAAAAAAUGUGGAACAGAACCUCAAAUUCCUUAAAAAAAAAAAAAAAAAAAGCC